AUUUGUUUUUUUUUUUUUUCCUUCAUCCAGAUUUAUGUGAUCUUAUCAACAGGUUGGAUGGGAAAUAAACAUUACGGAAAUUUACGGUGGGCCCUAGGAAGUAUUUAAUUGGUAGAGCAUUCAGUCACCACUGUUUCCUACAGUAUGGUCCACCUGAUAUUUUCUUCUUCUUAAUUUUUCUCUCAUGCCAUAAAAUGAUCAUGAAAAACGUAUGGACGGCGUGGAUAUAGAAUAAAUACAUCAAGGUAGGCCCCAAGGUAAGGGACGUACCGUCUUGGGUGAGGCCGGGGCCGAACCUAAUCCAUCCCCUUCUAGAAGGCCCCACCUGCUCAAAUUCACAGAGAGAGAAACCCACCAUUAUUAAACAAUUAUAAUAUUAAAGAAAUCAACUUUCCAUGGAUCUUUCCACAGGUCGUCGCUGUAGAUAGACUCUCAUAUAAAAAAAAGAGAGUUGUGCUCUAAUCCAAAAACUCAAAAAACAGAAUCAUGGGUCUCUGCAGGCAUUGCAUGGUCUUGGCCUUGAUCUUGAUUUCCAUCCAAUCUCACUUCCACACAGGUGUAGAAGCCAGAGCACUGCCCUUCAUCAAGCAAGAAAGAUAUGUCAAACUAUUGGCAUCGCUUGGAGUCAUGUGUAGGUGUUGUGAUGGUGUUGGAGGUGAAUGCCGGACUACGUGGGACUCAUCGUGCCCCAAGCUCGAUUGUGGGCCAUGGAAAUUUCAUUGAUCUUCUACGGCUGAGAUUUGCCCAUGUACAUUUCCCUGUAUUGUGCUCAUUAAGAGUACUAAUUUUGAUUUUGAAAUGUCGGAAUCAGAUAGCAGUUCAUGUAAUUAAUUGGCCUCAGAAAAUGCUGUCUUUGUGUGCA